rnacentral:rRNA from 1 species
UGCUUACACAUGCAAGUCGAGCGGAAAGGCCCUUCGGGGGUACUCGAGCGGCGAACGGGUGAGUAACACGUGAGCAACCUGCCCCUGACUCUGGGAUAAGCCCGGGAAACUGGGUCUAAUACCGGAUAUGACCACUCCAGGCAUCUGGUGGUGGUGGAAAGUUUUUCGGUUGGGGAUGGGCUCGCGGCCUAUCAGCUUGUUGGUGGGGUGAUGGCCUACCAAGGCGACGACGGGUAACCGGCCUGAGAGGGCGACCGGUCACACUGGGACUGAGACACGGCCCAGACUCCUACGGGAGGCAGCAGUGGGGAAUAUUGCGCAAUGGGCGGAAGCCUGACGCAGCGACGCCGCGUGGGGGAUGACGGCCUUCGGGUUGUAAACCCCUUUCAGCAGGGACGAAGCUAACGUGACGGUACCUGCAGAAGAAGCGCCGGCUAACUACGUGCCAGCAGCCGCGGUAAUACGUAGGGCGCAAGCGUUGUCCGGAAUUAUUGGGCGUAAAGAGCUCGUAGGCGGUUUGUCGCGUCUGUCGUGAAAGCCCACGGCUUAACCGUGGGUCUGCGGUGGAUACGGGCAGACUAGAGGCAGGUAGGGGAGAAUGGAAUUCCCGGUGUAGCGGUGAAAUGCGCAGAUAUCGGGAGGAACACCGGUGGCGAAGGCGGUUCUCUGGGCCUGUACUGACGCUGAGGAGCGAAAGCGUGNGGAGCGAACAGGAUUAGAUACCCUGGUAGUCCACGCCGUAAACGUUGGGCGCUAGGUGUGGGGUUCUUCCACGGAUUCGGCGCCGUAGCUAACGCAUUAAGCGCCCCGCCUGGGGAGUACGGCCGCAAGGCUAAAACUC